rnacentral:tRNA from 1 species
GGGGAGAUACCAGAGCGGUCAAAUGGGGCAGACUGUAAAUCUGCUGGCUUCGCCUUCGGAGGUUCGAAUCCUCCUCUCCCCACCA